UGAGCUUGCAUACUGGUUGGAGCACUGUCACUUAUUAACUUUUUUCACCAAUUAUCGAAAUAUUGUCAAGUAAUGUAACAUUCUUAAGUACCAGCUUGCCUACAGGGUUAUUCCAGAGAAACGCAUUAUCAGAAGGAGGGGAUUCACUCACAAGGCACGCUUUGCAUCUUAAAGCGGUUUCCCAUAGCAGUGAACGUUGUGAACAGGCACGUGAAUGACGAGACGGGGCCAUGUGACGAAGUUUUUCAAACAAACCGUCUAGAUUUGUAGCGCCCAGGGAUAACAGACGGGACGUGCUCCGCGCAUGGUCUCUCGAGUAUUUUGAUAAGGCGUCCCGCCCUUACAAAUUCUGCGACACGUGCGCACGGAACACAACUGGUACAUAUAAAGAAGACAGCAAUCCGAUUGCUCACGUUCUUUACGGAAAAAAAUGUAGGAAUAAUUUUUCACGGAAACGUGAUCCACGAAAAGGACCCGGACCACAGUAUCCUCGUCUAGAAGAUCUAAGGAUAAGAGCGAUUCCGUGUUCCUACCCGGAGUAACGGAUCCUCGGUUAGGUCCUUCAUUGGCCACCACGUGCCUAAGUGCUACCAGGAGGACGCGCGACCCUCUUCAGCAUCCUCGUGCUCACGCGCCAAUCCGGAAGCGGAAGAUUCCUCUCAGGAACGAGCCCAAGAGCGUACUUAACCCUUGGAGUGAUCGAAGCGAUCUGAAAUAUGAUCAUCAUGAUCCCUUAACUGCUUGAAAAAUGCAUCCCUGUCAUCCCUGACUCUGACAGCUACGACAGUCACGUGAAUCUUGGUCAUUUCUGCACACCGGAAAAUGCACCUGGCCGCAAGGACUCAAACGUGGUUCAGCUUUCACGCGAAACAAGAUCGCACCAGUAAGAUUGUCCUGCACUACUAUCUACGAUUAAUCAAAAAGAGUUCCAUGAGCACUCCAUGAGCAGUUCCAACGCUCUCCGCAUAUCCUGGUGACAGAUGCGUCGCCAGGGUAGAAAUUCGAAGCCGCGCGGACUGGCUAAUCUGACUGGCAAAUAUUUGGAUUGUCGCAUUCAUGGCAUUGAUACAUCGAGUGCAGCUCCCGGACGUGGCAGGGAGAGAAUCGGCUGUUUACACGGCGUUCGGCUUGCAGAUCCUUUUGAAAAUACAGCCGGGAAUUCCGGCAUUAAGAUGCCAGAUAGCCUUGUCCAAUGAGACACCCUAGAUUUGCAGUAGCUGUGUAACUGGUAUAUGUGGUAAAUAAUAUACUCCACUUAACAGUAUAUAAUAUGGACUUAUAAGAAAUUUUAUAUGACGAAUGACUCCUCUUCAAUCUAAGGAUGAUACCUAGUGGAUGAUUCAUACAUCAGAUUGAUAAAGCUUGAAUUCUUUAAAUUCGAUCUCCUAUAACGAGUAAAGUACAAUAGGAUCAUCGCGGACCGAUGAGCACCGAUCUGCUUACCUUGGACUCUCGACUCCUCUCCUAGAUGAGGAGGAUGAGAUAUAGUACCAAUAUGAAGGAGAAGGAUAGACAGAGUUGUUGAGUACCUAACCUAAAAGAGAAGAGAGAAGCUGGGUCUUGGAGCUGUCAGAUUCUCAUACUCCUGAGUAAGAAAGAAAGAGAGAGAGAGAGAGAAAAUGAGAGAAAGAUUAGCUUCUUAACCAAAUAGGCUCAGCUUAGUCUUCACCGUCGGCUCGACAUUCUCGAUUUUCAAGGAGCGGCCUCGCGGCUUAACUACCCUGGACCAAGUUACCCUUGUGGUCAUAUUUACUUUAUGAUCAGCAUCUUCCUCGGGAUGGUCCUGGGCGAGAAAUCAAGCGGAAGCCCGCUUGCAUUCCUUCCGGAUGAUACGACGUUCCCACGUAGACAUUUUUAUUCUUUUAGUCAUUCUUGUCCAGCGAGGUCCUCUAGCUCUUCUACAAAAUAUUCUGCAGGGACAGUGCUGAAGGAAUAUAGGGAGAAGAUAGUACCUAUAUAUCUGCCUACCUAUGUGCCUCGUAACAGACUCAAACUCCCAAGGACUUGUCAGGGACGACUUCGCGGCUCACCGCGUCGAUCCUAAGCCGACGGUAAUGUGACGUCCACCUGAUCGUGGUCGCUGAUUAAAUCCACCUAAUUUACAGAGAGAGAGAGAGAGAG